rnacentral:rRNA from 1 species
ACUGGGACGUAAAGCGCAUGCAGGUGGUUUGUUAAGUCAGAUGUGAAAGCCCCGGGGCUCAACCUCGGAAUAGCAUUUGAAACUGGCAGACUAGAGUACUGUAGAGGGGGUAGAAUUUCAGGUGUAGCGGUGAAAUGCGUAGAGAUCUGAAGGAAUACCGGUGGCGAAGGCGGCCCCCUGGACAGAUACUGACACUCAGAUGCGAAAGCGUGGGGAGCCAAACAGGAUUAGAUACCCCUGGUAG